AGAGAUGAUGAAUAUGCACUGGGCUCUGAGCAGUUGAUAUCAGCUGUUUUUGAUGGACAAUGCAGCCUAGAAAGCUAUAUCUGAUCU